CCUACGGGUGGCAGCAGUGAGGAAUAUUGGUCAAUGGCCGCAAGGCUGAACCAGCCAUGCCGCGUGAAGGUCAGUGCCCUAUGGGCGUUAAACUUCUUUUGUGCGGGAGCAAUAAUGGUCACGUGUGGCCAGACGAGAGUACCGUACGAAUAAGCAUCGGCUAACUCCGUGCCAGCAGCCGCGGUAAUACGGGGGAUGCAAGCGUUAUCCGGAUUUAUUGGGUUUAAAGGGUGCGUAGGCUGUGAGGUAAGUCAGCGGUGAAAUGCCCCCGCUCAACGGGGUGAAGUGCCAUUGAUACUGGCUGGCUGGAGUGCGGAUGCGGUGGGAGGAAUGUGUGGUGUAGCGGUGAAAUGCAUAGAUAUCACAAAGAACACCGAUUGCGAAGGCAUCUCACGAAUCCGCGAUUGACGCUGAUGCACGAAAGCGUGGGUAUCAAACAGGAUUAGAUACCCCUGUAGUC
rnacentral:rRNA from 1 species